UGGGGAAUAUUGCACAAUGGGGGAAACCCUGAUGCAGCAACGCCGCGUGAAGGAAGACGGUCUUCGGAUUGUAAACUUUUGUUCUUGGUGAAGAAAAAUGACGGUAGCCAAGGAGGAAGCCACGGCUAACUACGUGCCAGCAGCCGCGGUAAUACGUAGGUGGCAAGCGUUGUCCGGAAUUACUGGGUGUAAAGGGAGCGCAGGCGGGAAAUCAAGUUGGAUGUGAAAUGUCGGGGCUUAACCCCGGAACUGCAUCCAAAACUGAUAUUCUUGAGUGAAGUAGAGGUAGGCGGAAUUCCGAGUGUAGCGGUGAAAUGCGUAGAUAUUCGGAGGAACACCAGUGGCGAAGGCGGCCUACUGGGCUUUAACUGACGCUGAGGCUCGAAAGUGUGGGGAGCAAACA
rnacentral:rRNA from 1 species